rnacentral:rRNA from 1 species
UACGGAGGAUGCAAGCGUUAUCCGGAUUUAUUGGGUUUAAAGGGUGCGUAGGCGGGGCAGCAAGUCAGUGGUGAAAUCUUUCGGCUUAACCGAAAAACUACCAUUGAAACUGUUGUCCUUGAGUAUAUUUGGAGUGGGCGGAAUGUGUCAUGUAGCGGUGAAAUGCUUAGAUAUGACACAGAACACCAAUCGCGAAGGCAGCUCACUAAACUAUAACUGACGCUGAAGCACGAAAGCGUGGGGAUCAAACAGGAUUAGAUACCCUGGUAGUCCACGCCGUAAACGAUGAUCACUCGAUGUUGGCGAUACACUGUCAGCGUCUGAGCGAAAGCAUUAAGUGAUCCACCUGGGGAGUACGAUCGCAAGGUUGAA